UUAUAUGUAGUAGGUAUAUGAAAAUGCCAUGUUAUCAAAAUGAAUUUUGUUGUUAUCUACAUUUGGAGUGCAUGGUCAUAGAAUAUGCCAAAGGCGAUAUUAGGACACUGCUUCGCAAUAACGUUACAGACCAACAUUGACCUAUGGUAAAGAGAGAGUUCGGUGCUGAACGAAUCACAGUAAACCAGACUACAAGGAUCAUGACUGAUAGCUAAAGUAGAGGUUUGCUUUCAAGUUGGCGCUAUAAUGUAUUUAACUGGAAUUCACAGUAGUGACCGAAGGCUUUAAUUCGAGAAGAAGAACAUAUUCUUUCCGAAAAUACAGCGACAUUUGGUCAGCAGGAACUGCGCGCUUGCGUUUGCGCAGUACAGGGAGUCAGUGUGGAACACAUCUGCAAGUGAGUUGAGACCCGGCUGGCUGGGCCAGCGAAGACAGAAUUUGGAGUUCUGUGUUUUGUCCAAUGAAUAAAGAAUACCAGAAGGAGAAUAUCAACAAUAUACGUGCGACCGGGACAGAGACAUGGAGAGAGGAGAUCGCUGAUCGACGAGUGCGCAUCCAAGAAAGGGUGCGACCUCAU